rnacentral:rRNA from 1 species
UAUAAAUGAAGCGGUCUGGAAAGGCCCGCCAAAGACGGUAACAGCCCGGUAGUUGAAAUGGCUUUCCCUCCAGAGUGGAUCCUGAGUACGGCGGAACACGUGAAAUUCCGUCGGAAUCCGGGAGGACCAUCUCCCAAGGCUAAAUACUCCCUAGUGACCGAUAGUGAACCAGUACCGUGAGGGAAAGGUGAAAAGCACCCCGGAAGGGGAGUGAAACAGUUCCUGAAACCGUGUGCCUACAAGUAGUUAGAGCCCGUUAAUGGGUGAUAGCGUGCCUUUUGUAGAAUGAACCGGCGAGUUACGAUUUGUUGCAAGGUUAAGCGGAAAAAGCGGAGCCGUAGCGAAAGCGAGUCUGAAU